GAAGAGGCCCGAGAUCUCCUGGUGGUCCUCGGCUGCGGACACCUCCUGGAAGUGGCACCUGUUCUCCCGGGCCAGGGUGCGGCCCUCCUCCUCGCACACCUGCCGGGCGUGGCACAGGUCCUGCUUGUUCCCCACCAGUGUUCCUUCCUGGUGGACCAAGGGAAGCCAUCCACACCUGCCCUGUAGAAGGUCAUGUAGUCGUCGCUGUCCGAAUCGCUGUCACUGCCCAGAUGGAAGGUCUUGCCGGGAAACACCUCCUUGAGUUUUGAUUGGAAGAAGGCCUUUAGGCUCCGCCCAGCCUGUGCCACUUCAGAGUCGGGCUGCAAUGGGGAGAGACAAAGUGGAGGGGUGGAUUAAAGAGUGAUCCAUAAUGGACAAUGGCACAGAACACAGGAUCCAGGCCCCAGGGGGAAAAAGGUUCCUCUCUCGGAAAGCAAUACACAACACAGAACCGAUCGGAGGUCAUUACCUCUCCCGCAGCACCACGGAUCGCGUUGCGUAUCGCCGCCUGAGCUCUCUGGACAAGGGACAAACACAGGGGGGGUAACUCAUUAACACAGAGGCGAUAACAUAACCCCCCAUCGCUCACGAGCGUCUCUGACCGCGGGAGGACCCGAGGCUGACCAUCGUACCUCUUCG